rnacentral:rRNA from 1 species
GGCCCUACGGGGCGCAGCAGGCGCGAAAACUGUACAAUGCGCGAAAGCGCGAUACGGGGAGCCUGAGUGCCUUAACAUUUGUUAAGGCUUUUCACAAGCCUAAAAAGCUUGUGGAAUAAGAACUGGGUAAGACGGGUGCCAGCCGCCGCGGUAACACCCGCGGUUCGAGUGGUAGUCACUUUUAUUGAGCCUAAAGCGUUCGUAGCCGGAUUCGUAAAUCUCUAGGAAAAUCCUUCUGCCCAACAGAAGAAAUUCUGGAGAGACUGCGAAUCUAGGGACCGGGUGAGGUUGAAUGUACUUCUGGGGUAGGGGUAAAAUCCUGUAAUCCUGGAAGGACGACCGGUGGCGAAGGCGUUCAACUAGAACGGAUCCGACGGUGAGGAACGAAGGCUAGGGGAGCAAACCGGAUUAGAUACCCGGGUAGUCCUAGCUGUAAACACUGCCCACUUGGUGUUGCAUCUCCGGUAAGGGGGUGCAGUGCCGGAGCGAAGGUGUUAA